AUUUUAGUUUCAUACAUAAUUUUUCUAACGUGUUUUCAGUUUAAAUAUUAUUUUUACAUUCAUUAUUUUACAAUGCAAAGAAAUGCUGCCUAAUAUCGUAGGAGUCUCCAAAUGUAUGCUAAAGCUGUUUCUUGCCUAUUCCUGACACUAACAGUGGCAACAUCUCUCGUGGAUGACCAGCCGUAUUGCUCGUUACGGUAUAGGCGACUGUGUCAGGGUAAAGGUCGUCAUGUAGCUUGUCAGUUUCCUGUUCCGGGCCCUAAUCCAUACUGUGUGAAUUAUACCAAAAUUAAAUUCACCGGGGACUUAAGAAAUUUUAUAACCCACUACAUCAACAGGCGUAGACAGCGGAUAGCAACGGGCAACGAACGCGUGCGUGGCGGCGCACAUAUACCCAAACCAGAGAUUAUGAUGUGGGUUAGCUGGGACCGUGAGUUAGCCCAUUUGGCUCAACGCCUUGCAGACCAAUGUCGCUUUGUGCACGAUGACUGUAGAGCUACUGUUCGCUAUCCGUACGCGGGCCAAACAGUGGGUGAGGUGCGAUGGCGACGUUCCAGUGAUUCGGAAGAGCUAAGCGCUCAGCGAGCCAUACGCAGGGUAUUCGAUGCCUGGUGGGGAGAAAGACGGCGGGUGCAGCCCAAACAGCUUAUUGCGCCGUUUAGAUUAACUCCCAAAGGCAGCGUUUGGGGCCACUUCAGUCAAUUAGCAGUGUGGACCCUAAGAGCUGUUGGUUGUGGGGCGGUGACCCACGGCGAUGCGCAGACGCGUAUGUUGCUCGUAUGUGACUUCUCACACACGAACAUGCUUGGAGAGAGAACCAUCAAUCCCGGUCCAUUAGCCGCGUGUCCUGCUCAUACGGCGAGGAAGAUACGCACUUCAUAUCCUUUGCUGUGUGCUCCGAUGAGACAAACCACCGAGUCGAGUCAUGAAGAGUACGACGGCUAUGCAAGUGAUGAAGACGAUGAGGCAGAGUUGGAGGAAGUCGAUAAAGAAAAGCUGCCACGGAAGCACCUGGAUAUUGGCUAUCUCACAACGCGAAAGACGACUAGGGCAUUAGAUAUUUUGGAACAGGAAUUAGAAAAACCGCGGAGUAAGACCCAACUUAAGGCAUGGCCUACCAGACCACGAUUAGAAGUUCAUGGACUGGAUAAUAGAGAAUCAGAUGAAAAAAAAUUUGCUGAUAAGUUACAACAUUUGUACAGAAGUCAGACGAAAGAAGAUGUGUUUGUUGAUAAAGGUUUUAUGGAACCACCACAAAUUCGUCAAGAUCCAGUUCAUAAGGUCGUAUUUUCAGGAGCAAGUGAUCAGGCAAAGAUGGAAACAAACAAGAUUUAGACCACGAAGGCCGGGUGCAAAAGCUUUAUUCAAUAAACCGGAGAACCAAUAUGAGAGAUCUUCAUUGCCAUCUCUGAUGAUCGAUAAAGAUGAUAUGGACCAAUUGUUUCGUGACACAGGCUUCAAGAUUUCCGGACGAAAAAGAUAACAAAUACAUUUUUGUUUUCAA